GAUGAACGCUGGCGGCGUGCUUAACACAUGCAAGUCGAACGGAAAGGCUCCUGCUUGCAGGGGUACUCGAGUGGCGAACGGGUGAGUAACACGUGGGUGAUCUGCCCUUCACUUCGGGAUAAGCCUGGGAAACUGGGUCUAAUACCGGAUAGGACGAUGUUUUGCAUGCCAUUGUUGAGAGUUUUUUCGGUGUGGGAUGAGCUCGCGGCCUAUCAGCUUGUUGGUGGGGUAUUGGCCUACCAAGGCGUCGACGGGUAGCCGGCCUGAGAGGGUGUACGGCCACAUUGGGACUGAGAUACGGCCCAGACUCCUACGGGAGGCAGCAGUGGGGAAUAUUGCACAAUGGGCGGAAGCCUGAUGCAGCGACGCCGCGUGGGGGAUGACGGCCUUCGGGUUGUAAACUCCUUUCGCUAGGGACGAAGCGCGAGUGACGGUAACGGGAGAAGAAGCACCGGCUAACUACGUG
rnacentral:rRNA from 1 species